CAGCCACGUCAGCAGGCCCGGUCAGCAGUCCCGGCCAACCGGGGCCUGCCACGUGGCAAGACCACGUCGCUCCGGAACGGGCCACGUUGGCGAUCCGCGUGGGCGCGAUCGGACGGCCCAGAUACAAUCGCACGGACGGCCCAGAUUCAAUCAAAAACGAACGGCCCAGAUUAAAACAAAAUGGACGGCUGAGAUCAAAAGGCUAGGGGUUAUAAAUAGAACCCCCACACCAGACCACAAACCCUAGCCGCCUGCCGCUCGCCGGAGAAGACGAACCAGAGGCCGACCGCCGCCACCCGCCGCCGCACCGGGGAAAUUUUCGACCGCUGAUCGAGGUAAAUUUCAUACCCCCGACUCGUUUUUCCACGUUGAUUCCUCCUGUGGCCAAAUCGAAGCCAAAAUCCCAGCCAAACGGCCGGAAU
rnacentral:lncRNA from 1 species